CCUACGGGGCGCAGCAGUAGGGAAUCUUCCACAAUGGGCGAAAGCCUGAUGGAGCAACGCCGCGUGGGUGAAGAAGGUCUUCGGAUCGUAAAACCCUGUUGUUAGAGAAGAAAGUGCGUGAGAGUAACUGUUCACGUUUCGACGGUAUCUAACCAGAAAGCCUCGGCUAACUACGUGCCAGCAGCCGCGGUAAUACGUAGGUGGCAAGCGUUAUCCGGAUUUAUUGGGCGUAAAGAUAACGCAGGCGGUCUUUUAAGUCUGAUGUGAAAGCCUUCGGCUUAACCUGUGCAAUGCAUUGGAACUUG
rnacentral:rRNA from 1 species